GAGACUGGGAGGGGCUGGCUCAUGACAAAAGUAAUUUUCCCUCUCUUGGUAUUGACACCUCCUCAUCAAUUAUUGGGAGUGGUCCACAUCCACCCAAUAAAUUGGCCUUGUUAUCACUGGUUCUCCACUUGUAAGGUAACUCCCUCCUCUUCAUUUGCCAGUAUAUCUAUGCCUGAAUCUGUAAUUUUCCCUCCAUGCAUCUGAAGAAGUGGUUUUUUAUCCACGAAAGCUUAUGCCCAAAUAAAUCUGUUAGUCUUUAAGGUAGAUUGGAAGAG